rnacentral:sRNA from 12 species
GCAAAUGCCCCGCGCUCAGGCUUUCGAUACGGCAAUCGAGCUCUUGCCGUCAGCUAACCGGUCCACGAGGGAUUGGGAAUCGUUACGAGCCGUGGCUCCCGCAGGAGACACUGCGCAGGUGAGCGCGGCUCCCACGGCGCGGGGC